rnacentral:rRNA from 1 species
AGCUCGUAGUUGGAUUUCUGUUAAUAUUUUAUAUUAUUAAUUUAUUAUUAUUAAUAUAAUGUUAACAUAAUUCAUAUUACUUUUUAAGUAUAUGAAAUUUUACUUUGAGAAAAUUAGAGUGCUUAAAGCAGGCUUUUGCCUUGAAUACUCCAGCAUGGAAUAAUAUUAAAGAUUUUUAUCUUUCUUAUUGGUUCUAAGAUAGAAAUAAUGAUUAAUAGGGACAGUUGGGGGCAUUUGUAUUUAACAGUCAGAGGUGAAAUUCUUAGAUUUGUUAAAGACAAACUAAUGCGAAAGCAUUUGCCAAGGAUGUUUUCAUUAAUCAAGAACGAAAGUUAGGGGAUCGAAGACGAUCAGAUACCGUCGUAGUCUUAACCAUAAACUAUGCCAACUAGAGAUUGGAGGUUGUUCCUUACUCCUUCAGCACCUUA